AAAGUGCUUGCUUUGUGCAUUAAAAUUGGAACGCUACAGGAAAGAUGAGCAUGGCCCCUGCUGAAGGAAGACACACGCUGCAUGGGGUGCCCGCAGUUCCCUUUCCUU
ensembl:snRNA U6 U6 spliceosomal RNA